rnacentral:rRNA from 1 species
ACGCGAGGAACCUUACCAGGUCUUGACAUCCUCUGACAACCCUAGAGAUAGGGCGUUCCCCUUCGGGGGACAGAGUGACAGGUGGUGCAUGGUUGUCGUCAGCUCGUGUCGUGAGAUGUUGGGUUAAGUCCCGCAACGAGCGCAACCCUUGAUCUUAGUUGCCAGCAUUUAGUUGGGCACUCUAAGGUGACUGCCGGUGACAAACCGGAGGAAGGUGGGGAUGACGUCAAAUCAUCAUGCCCCUUAUGACCUGGGCUACACACGUGCUACAAUGGACGGUACAAACGGUUGCCAACCCGCGAGGGGGAGCUAAUCCGAUAAAACCGUUCUCAGUUCGGAUUGUAGGCUGCAACUCGCCUACAUGAAGCCGGAAUCGCUAGUAAUCGCGGAUCAGCAUGCCGCGGUGAAUACGUUCCCGGGCCUUGCACUCACCGCCCGU